rnacentral:rRNA from 1 species
UACGUAGGUGGCAAGCGUUAUCCGGAUUUGCUGGGUGUAAAGGGCGUGUAGGCGGGGAAGCAAGUCAGAUGUGAAAACCACGGGCUCAACCUGUGGCCUGCAUUUGAAACUGUUUUUCUUGAGUGCUGGAGAGGCAAUCGGAAUUCCGUGUGUAGCGGUGAAAUGCGUAGAUAUACGGAGGAACACCAGUGGCGAAGGCGGAUUGCUGGACAGUAACUGACGCUGAGGCGCGAAAGCGUGGGGAGCAAACAGG